rnacentral:tRNA from 2 species
GUCCUCGUAGUAUAACGAAAUACCCUGGUUUUGUAAACCAAAAACGGAGGAAACUACACCUCCCUAGGACU